CGGUUCCUGCUGACGGGGUCUGUCCAGUCAUCAGAUCUGCCGUGUGCGAUGGCUCCG
rnacentral:snoRNA from 1 species